AGAAGGGAUCAGGAGCCGGAACUGAGGGGAAAGAGGCCGGUCCGAGUCUGGACUCUGCCGCUGCUCGCCCGAGGUCUGCAGGCCGGGAUGCGGCUCAGUCCUUAGCUCCUGGGCACAGUCUACGAGGCUCCACCGGGCCAGCGUGGGAGAGCCGCAGGCGGCGGCCGCCGCAUCAUGUCAACCAAGGGCGAGCGGGCCAGGGAGAUCCUGAGGGGCUUCAAACUAAAUUGGAUGAACCUUCAGGAUGCUGAGACAGGGAAGAUACUCUGGCAAGGAACAGAAGACCUGUCAGGCCCUGGAGUGGAGCAUGAAGCCCGUGUUCCCAAGAAAAUCCUCGAGUGCAAGGCAGUGUCUCGAGAAUUGAACUUCUCUUCAGCGGAGCAAAUGGAAAAAUUCCGCCUGGAACAAAAAGUUUACUUCAAAGGGCAAUGCCUAGAAGAAUGGUUCUUUGAGUUUGGCUCUGUGAUCCCUAACUCCACAAACACCUGGCAAUCCCUGAUAGAGGCAGUGCCCAAGUCCCAGAUGAUGCCAGCCAGCGUGCUAACUGGAAAUGUUAUCAUAGAGACAAAGUUUUUUGACGACAAUCUUCUUGUAAGCACAUCCAGAGUGAGACUUUUCUACGUUUGAGAGAAGAAUAUGUGUGCAUUUCAAGAAUUCAUUUUUUUAGGGGGAAGGAGGAAACUGUUUACUUUUUU